GACGAACGCUGGCGGCGUGGAUUAGGCAUGCAAGUCGAACGGUAGGGUACCUUCGGGUAUCUGAGAGUGGCGAACGGGUGAGUAACACGUAGGUGAUCUACCCUCAAGAUUGGGACAACCCAGGGAAACUUGGGCUAAUACCGGAUGAAAGCAGCAGUGAUGUUGUUUGAAAGGUGGCGUAAGCUGCCGUUUGGGGAUGAGCCUGCGCUCUAUUAGUUAGUUGGCGGGGUAAAGGCCCACCAAGGCGAUGAUAGAUAGGCGGCCUUAACGGGUGGUCGCCCACACUGGGAUUGAGAUACGGCCCAGACUCCUACGGGAGGCAGCAGUCGAGAAUAGUCUACAAUGGCCGAAAGGCUGAUAGUGCGACGCCGCGUGAACGAAGAAGCCCUUCGGGUGUAAAGUUCUUUUAUAUGUGAGCAGUGCUUUCUAUGUGAACAGCAUGGGGAGAGAGAUAUUAGCAUAUGAAUAAGCAACGGCUAACUCCGUGCCAGCAGCCG
rnacentral:rRNA from 1 species